rnacentral:rRNA from 1 species
CCUACGGGUGGCAGCAGUGGGGAAUAUUGCGCAAUGGGCGAAAGCCUGACGCAGCGACGCCGCGUGAGGGAUGAAGGUCUUCGGAUCGUAAACCUCUGUCAACAGGGAAGAACGGGCACUGUGCUAAUCAGCAGUGAAUUGACGGUACCUGCAAAGGCAGCACCGGCUAACUCCGUGCCAGCAGACGCAGUAAUACGGGGGGUGCGAGCGUUAAUCGGAAUUAAUGGGCGGAAAGCGCUCGUUGGCGGUAUGUCAAGGCAAGGGUGAAAUCCCCGCGCUCAACGUGGGAACUGCCUUUGAUACUGGCAAACUGGAGUGUGUGAGAGGAUAGUGGAAUUCCAGGUGUAGGAGUGAAAUCCGUAAAUAUCUGGAGGAACAUCAGUGGCGAAGGCGACUAUCUGGCACAUUACUGACGCUGAGGAGCGAAAGCGUGGGUAGCAAACAGGAUUAGAUACCCGUGUAGUC